GUGAAAUAAUAUGAAGCUGCCUUAUGUUUCUUGGCACUGCAAUUUUCAUCUCUGAUUUAAUUGAUCAUCCAGUUUGGGAACCUUCUCUACGGCCUGAGAUGGAAACAGAAUCAACUAUCCCAAUUUGGCAGAACAAGCCCUGUGGCUCAUCACGUAGUGUUGUCAGGAGGAUUGGGACAAAUCUUCCUUUAAAACCCUGUCCUAGAGCAUCUUUUGAGGUUCUACCAAACAUUUCAGAUCUGUAUCUAAACGAUGGACCUCCAGUCCCCACUCUGGCAGAUAUUGCAUGGAUAGCAGCAGAUGAAGGAGAAACCUAUGCUAGAGUCAGGAGUGACACUCGCCCAUUAAAGCACAAGUGGAAGCCCAGCCCAUUCUUUGUUAUACAGCGAAAUGCUUCAGUCCCCAACUUGAGAAAGCAGGAAGAGAAGCUGCUGGUCUUGAAGAAACCUGGUUUACCGGCCCUCAGUCGGACGACAGAGCUUCAAGAUGAGCUGAGUCACCUGCGGAGUCAAAUAGCUAAAAUUGUAGCUGCAGAUCCAGCUUCCGCUUCAUUAACGCCAGAUUUAUUAUCUCCAGGAAGUUCAAAUGUAUCUUCUCCCUUACCUUGUUUUGGAUCCUCAUUCCAAUCUACAACUUCCUUUGUCAUUAGUGAUAUCACAGAGGAGGCAGAAUUAGAAAUUCCGGAGCUUCCAUCAGUUUCCGUGCUUUGUUCUGCAACCUCUGAAUGUUGUAAACCAGAACCAAAGGAUGUUGACGAGGAAGAUUCUGUCUCUCUUUCGAAGGCCAGCAGUUUUGCAGACAUGAUGGGCAUCCUUAAAGACAUUCAUAGGAUGAAACAGAACAAAGAUUUGAACUGGUGUUAAAACCCACAGCCUGGAAACUUCAGGAAUGAGUAUGAGACACAUUUGCAUGUUUCCACCAUUAAAAUCAGAAUAGAGCCCUUUUAAUAGCUGAUGCCCUUUGGAAAGGAAUGGUCUGUGUAGUGUUCCAGCUGAUCCGUUCAUUCGGUGUGUGGUUAAAAACAUUUAGCGUGAGGAUCUGCUUUGAAUGAACCGAACUUUACUGAAGGAGGAAGACCCCGCUGUUCUUAUAUCAGAAGUGUUAAGAAGAAAAUUUGCUCUAAAGGAUGAAGAUGUAACCAUGAAAGAAAACUGACAUUACACUUCCAUUUAAAUCUGUAAGCAAGUGUAUCGUGCUCCUAAGAUUUUUCUUCACAGUAGCUGCCUUCCUCAGGAUAAAACUUUUUUGCCUCUUUACUGAUUAGAAAUGAUUUCUGCACUGGAAACUUAUUCAAGAAAGAAACUAUGGAUUUACAGUGUUUUCCACGUCUCUAAAUAUAUAAAAACUUUUUAAGAAAAAGGAAAUUGUUUUCCACAUAUAUUUUGAAGCAUUGCUGGUAACAGAUUCUUCUACAGAGUGAUGCUAAAUGAAGUUAUCUUCCUAUCUGUGUUUUCCCCAAGGUGACUUUAACUUGAAUCAUUAAUUUGACUCAUGAUGGUCUUGUUGCAAUAUGACUAGCUACUAAUUUAUAAUAUAAAUGGACAUAAAGCAUCUAAUUCUUUCUUCGUUCAGGGAAAGUCUGGUGCAAAGCUAUCAAUGAAACUAAAUUGCUUCUUCCUUCUAGGCUGUCAGUUUUUAGGAAGUUCUUACUGUAGCGAGGGUGGUUUAAGAGCUUACAUUAUUUUCUCAAAAAAGGAUUCCAUUCCCUAAAGUUUCUUCCAAUUACUUUCCUGUCCCAUUUGGGAUGGGAGACAUUAAAGGGAAUGAUCAGUCCAUUUAACCAAGCUCAAUUUGCUAGACUGGUGAGUGACUUUCAAAUAGUUUGUAAUAUUUGAAAGAUCAAAAUAUCCCGAGUCACAUUACAUGACACUUAUAUCCUGCCCUAAGGUAACUUGUCAAGAAUUCCAUGUGUUUCAUUAAAAUGAUCUUUUUAUUCAAUUAACUUUAUUAAAAUUCAGUAAGGAUUUCGUCCAGUUAAUGUGACUUAAAGUUUAUCUACUGAAUCAUCAAAGCUAGGAGUUGAGUCCUGUAGGAAACCAUGUGGGGAAAAGGAAAGGAGAGAGUUAAAUCAAAGUCACUGGUUGAAGUGUCAUUCUGCGCUAAUAUGUCUCUCAGCUGUAUUCAAGGUAGAUGAUGAUGAUUCUUUUAUAUAAAUGGAUCCCUAUACUUAGUUCUCCAAUGAUAUUUGCAGGUUUCCUCAAUAGUCAACAGCUGUGCUGGGUUUUUUUGGAGGACUGGUUCUGUCUGCUUGUACUGGUAUCUGAAACGUUGCUCAUAGCAGAGUAUUGGUGUUUUGGGCUGUUUCUGCUGCAGCAGAGGGCAUGAAUCACCAUGCUGCAUGUUGCCUCAACUUGACAUCUGUCUAUCUGCAGUUACUGGGUCCUGUGGCUCCCUCUUCCUAGUCUCUCCUGUGUUGCUUUCUUGUGAAGUCACUCUACUGUCCUUGCAACUCAGCAGAGAAUUGAAAAUUCAAUGCAUGCCUAUUUAAAAUAUUGGGUGUCAGGAAUGGGGUGAGUGAGCAGCUCCCACACCAUAAUUCCCACAAUAUUUGUGCUGCAGGAAACUAUACAUGACAUUGUCAUUCUGCCUGAAACACACCACACACAGUUGGUAUCUAACCCCAUUAGGUCCUACUUAUCACCACUUCUGUAGGAUGGGAGAGUAUAACUGGGUGGCCUGGCUGGCACAUAUUUUAGUCCUUGGUGUGGAAUAAUAUUCCAACGGUCCAUUGCACAAUUCUAUACACACACACACGCAAUCCUCUGCUGAGUCAAUAGGGAAGAUUAGCCAUGUUUUCCCAAAAAUGCAUCUGUAUCUACACAGCUGUGGCCAUACUGUAUUGUCAGAGGAAAACAUGGGAGCCUAGUCCCACAUAAAAGUGACAAUACAGGGUCAGCUAAUGCAAAUGAUUGCACUUUUGUGUGAUCUUCCUGCCCUAUACUAUCAUGCUGCUUCUGAAUGGGGUGAAUUGGCCUCUCUCUCCCCAAACAGAUGCAAAUGUACCUAAGCCAGAUUCUUCCCUACACUGGUGGUGUGACCAGUGUGGGGAAAACCUCACUUCAAGUCCAGAUUCGCUCCUGCAGCCAGUAACUGGCUUAGAGAGGGAGGAAGCUUGCUCUGUUAGAAGCCCCUGGUGGUAGGGCCAGCAAGAAAAGUCACACACUGACUUUCUUGCUGUCCCUCCUUACUGUGGCAGUUGUGGGGCCCUGCAGAUUGUGAAGCCAGAUCUGGCAAUAGUGGUACGGUCAAGGUUUCUAUUUUAAAAUAAGUAAACCUGCCACUGCACUCUUGCUUUAUUUAAGCACGCUGGUGGCAGUCACAAUUAGUACUGAACGUCUAGGAUCCCUCCCUGUACACAGCUACAAACUUUGGCUUGCAAGGUCUAAAAUGCCUGUUAUGUACAUCUCCUCUUCCUUCUCCACACCAGCUGCCUUGGGUGGGGAUGGUACAACUACAGUUUCUGAUGAUGAUCUUUGAUUUUUCUUUUGAGCAAAGUAGCUUAAUCUUACUAAUUUAAUGAAGGGACAUGUAUAGCUGACAACUGUGCCCCUUAAGAAGCAUUAUAGCGUGCAUACUCCCUUUAAGUCAAAAUAUUGUUCUGUUGCUAUAGUAACAAUUACCAUACAGCAGACCAUGGGGUCCAUCUAGUCAAGUAACCAGUACCACAUGCUUCAUAGGAAGUUGCUUGCAACUUCGAUCCAGUGCUCAUAACACUAGUCAAUUAGGGGUUGUUUUGUCUGCUGACACAAGAGGCUCUGUGUCCUUUACAAACUUGUUUUUAAAUAUUCUCAGGGCUGUUCUUAGCUAUAUACAUGUCCAGUCCAUUUUUGACUCUUUUAGUGACAUCCUCUACCAGUGAAUUCCACAAGCUAACUGUGUUAUGAUUAAACACUUGACUGGGCAGCUGAACCUAAAUUUGGGGGGGCAGAUAAUCCACCUGUAGAUGUGUUGUGAGACACUAGACUACACAGUGUGGAUCCUCAGGCUUGUGGACUCUGACUUCUGAGACAUACUGCAAUAUUCAAAUCAAUGGCAAGGUGUCUCUUUUCCCUUGAAUAAGUAACAGGUCCUUAUUCUUCAAAUGUGGGAUUGAAGUACCCUUCAUGCUUCCUUUUAUAUAGCACCACCACUAACCAGAGCCUUGCCAAACAUGCAAAUAGAUGGUGUCACACAGAUACAAUGUUUGACAACAUGGUCCCUAUGUUCAUAUGAGCAGGGCACGGGUAGGAGCAGAUGUGGAAACUUGAUUACAACCCAUCUUGCUAUAAAAUUAUCACUUUAUUUGCACAUGUAUAAUCUCUUUUUAAUCAACAACAAUUCUGCAUGCAGCAUAAAUAGCCUGUGUGUGUGGGUCUAUACCACUCGUAGCCAAAGGCCAUAUAUGCAAGGUGUACGCUUACACAGUCCUUGUAUCUUAAAGAAAGUGAUGCACUGUGGAGGCUGCAGAGGAAUUUUCACAUACAUUAAAAAAUGUCAAUUUUUCAGCAGCCCAUU